ensembl:lncRNA
GUCCCAUUCCAGGGGCUCCAGCCGCCCUUGGAUUUCAUAGCCCAGGCACGUGGACAAGUGGAGACAGAGAGCGGAGCCAUCUGCAGGUCCGCCCUACAGCCAAGUCCCAGCAGACGCGGGUGCUUAGCAAGGAGCCGGGGACCCGCUCACCGGCCAGCACUUUCCUCAUGGCAGGGUCGUGCCAGGCCCUCCAGGGGGCCGUCUCAUCAGAUCACUGACCCCAGCAGCCGGGGCGGCCUGCCUGGGUCUGGCCUGAGGAGCCCAAGCUAACGGUCCUUUCCCUGGUCCCUGAAGGAGCCAGGGACCCCCAUCCCCUAUCCCCCGCAUGUCUGAACAAAAGCAUCAUGCUCACCAGGGUUCCUGCCACUAAAUCAAACACUAAUACGCUCCCCUAAUUUCUCUAAGACAACAUUAGCCACACAAAAUGCAACGUAAAUGUUAAUAAGACACGGUUGUCUGGAAGCCGAGGGGCCGGCGGCCGGGGAAAUGGUAAUUUAUCGCGUGUUUGCCGAGGCAGGCCAGGCGCACACACCAGGGACAAGUUGUAUCUUUAACUUAACGGGCUUCCUCUUAAAGGCACAGCAGCCUCUCCCUGGAAAAGCGGGCUCCUGGCGGGCGAUGGGAUCUGGGCGCCGGGGGGUCCCCUGCAGCUGGAGAGACGCAUUCACGCGGAGGCUCAGCAGGCGGGUGAAGCCUCAGCAGGAGGGCUGCGAGCAAGCGUGGGCCGGGGAGCUUCCUCGUGGGCGCCCGGUUAAUUAUUGUGGGCGCUCAGCCCAUCCUUGUGGGCGGCCACCUUGUUAUUUCAGCUAAUAGCUCAGGAUCCCAGAGGCAGAGGCAGAGGAGCGCCCUGUGUCACCCACGAGGUGUGCAGAGCUUUGCUGUGAUCAUGUCAGCUCACCACCAAGGCCUGGUGUUGUGGGCCUUUUUAACCCAAUCUGCAGAUGAGAAACCUCAGGCUCCAGAGAGCAUAAGCCACUCCCCAGGAUGCAGGUCAGAGGUAGGAUCUGAAGCAAGCCUGCCUGCCAGCCACAUGGCCCAUGGAGCUCAGGGCCCAGGAGGAAACACGGCCAGGGCAGGCAGCCAGACCCCCACCCUUAGUCCUGCUUGGUCCAGGAAGGCUGGGAGCCUCUCCCAAGGUCACGCAGCAAGGUCAGGCCACUCAAGCCCAGUGUCCUCUCCUCAACCCCAGGCUGGGGUGGGGAUGGGGGCUGAGGAAGGGUGAGUUCAGGCCGGCAUCCGCUUCACCAUCUGCAGGGUCCCCCCACUUCCUGGAGCCCCCCUCCGUUGUGUCCCAACAGCUCUGUGGGGCCCAGCCCACCUCUGGUGUCCCCCCACCAUGGUGCCCCUUGGCAGAGGGCUGGCCGGGACUCCUGGGCCCAGGGAGCCCACCUGGACCUGCUGCUUUCACCUGCCUGGCUCAAAUCCUCAGCAUCUCCAGGUGAAACCUGCAUCCGGCUGGCCAGGGCCGAGUCAUCCAAUGACCAGGGUGCCCACGAAAGAGGUGCCUCUGCCGUCCACAGCUCUGGCUCCCCCAGCCACGGGGACCACAGUGUCCUCUUUGGCCCAGGAGUCCACACACCACUGGUCACAGCCGCCCGGCCCCUGCCAGACCAUCUGAGGGAGUGGACCGAGCCUCUCCAGACUAAGUGGACUAAGCAGGGACGAAGCUCCUCCCCAGACCCUGGAGAACCCAGGCCAGAUCUGGAGACCCCUGACUCAAGGCCGGCUGUCACAAUGUGACCGGGACUCAGAGCCGAGGCUUCUCCGCAGGCCCGGAGGCGGCUCUAUGUGCAGUAAUCAGAGCCAGGCCCCAAGCCACCCGGCUGGCCCAACCGAGCGGGCCCCCAGGACGCCUUGGCCGCAUCUGCAGGUGGGAGCACUGAGGCACGGAGCACUGUGUAGCCUGGCCUCUGCCACGUGAGCCCCGAGGGGAGCCCACGACCCUGCUGUAUCAGCCCUCAGACUGGAACCGGCUUCAAAGGGCGGGGAGCUCCCGGCCGACAUCCUGUCCUUGCCAGUCCCUCCGGAGGACCACCCACAGAGAGGCCUCACCCUGUCCUCCCUGGGGAGGAGCCUGUGGCCCAGACAGGGAUGGGGAGCCCCGGCAGGCCCCCCACCGCGUGGCCCAGGCCCCUGCCUCUAAGGGUGCCACGCAGAGGCUCCCGCUGGCCUGAGCCAAUGAGAGUGAGGUGGGCUUCGUGUCACCAGCCCGGGGCAGCCCCUCCCGUGAGGGCAGCGCCCGAGAAGGCCCGGAGGCUCAGGGCCACCGCCUGCGAGGGGACCCUCCCUCCCGAGGAGUGGGCCAGGCCUGUCCAGUCCACCUGGCCCCAAAGCCAAACACCACACGGGGCUGCGGCCACCGCCCCCUCCCGCUGCCUCCCCGGGGCCCCCAUGUACUGGAGGAGCAGCCGCUGUCCACGCACACAGGGCUCCAUGUGCCCACCUGCCAGGGGGCUGAGUUAUUUA